GAUGAACGCUGGCGGCGUGCCUAAUACAUGCAAGUCGAGCGAACGGACGAGAAGCUUGCUUCUCUGAUGUUAGCGGCGGACGGGUGAGUAACACGUGGAUAACCUACCUAUAAGACUGGGAUAACUUCGGGAAACCGGAGCUAAGACCGGAUGAUAUUUUGAACCGCAUGGUUCAAAAGUGAAAGACGGUCUUGCUGUCACUUAUAGAUGGAUCCGCGCUGCAUUAGCUAGUUGGUAAGGUAACGGCUUACCAAGGCAACGAUGCAUAGCCGACCUGAGAGGGUGAUCGGCCACACUGGAACUGAGACACGGUCCAGACUCCUACGGGAGGCAGCAGUAGGGAAUCUUCCGCAAUGGGCGAAAGCCUGACGGAGCAACGCCGCGUGAGUGAUGAAGGUCUUCGGAUCGUAAAACUCUGUUAUUAGGGAAGAACAUAUGUGUAAGUAACUGUGCACAUCUUGACGGUACCUAAUCAGAAAGCCACGGCUAACUACGUG
rnacentral:rRNA from 1 species